GUGGGGAAUCUUGCGCAAUGGGCGAAAGCCUGACGCAGCCAUGCCGCGUGAAUGAUGAAGGUCUUAGGAUUGUAAAAUUCUUUCACCGGGGACGAUAAUGACGGUACCCGGAGAAGAAGCUCCGGCUAACUACGUGCCAGCAGCCGCGGUAAUACGAAGGGGGCUAGCGUUGCUCGGAAUUACUGGGCGUAAAGGGCGCGUAGGCGGACAGCUUAGUCAGAGGUGAAAGCCCAGGGCUCAACCUUGGAAUUGCCUUUGAUACUGGCUGUCUUGCGUUUGGGAGAGGUGAGUGGAACUCCGAGUGUAGAGGUGAAAUUCGUAGAUAUUCGGAAGAACACCAGUGGCGAAGGCGACUCACUGGCCCAAUACUGACGCUGAGGCGCGAAAGCGUGGGGAGCAAACAGGAUUAGAUACCCUGGUAGUCC
rnacentral:rRNA from 1 species